rnacentral:rRNA from 1 species
CUGCUGCCUUCCGUAGGGGUUUGGACCGUGUCUCAGUUCCAAUGUGGGGGACCUUCCUCUCAGAACCCCUACGCAUCGUCGGCUUGGUGGGCCGUUGCCCCACCAACUACCUAAUGCGCCGCAUGCCCAUCCGUGACCGGGGUCGCCCCCUUUGGCCGGCAGGGGAUGUCCCCUCCCGGCAUUAUGUUGUAUUAGGCGGGAUUUCUCCCGGUUAUCCAUCUGUCACGGCCAGGUUGCAUACGUGUUACUCACCCGUGCGCCGGUCGCCGGCGGCAG